rnacentral:rRNA from 1 species
GUAGGUGGCAAGCGUUGUCCGGAAUUAUUGGGCGUAAAGCGCGCGCAGGUGGUUCUUUAAGUCUGAUGUGAAAGCCCACGGCUCAACCGUGGAGGGUCAUUGGAAACUGGAGAACUUGAGUACAGAAGAGGAAAGCGGAAUUCCACGUGUAGCGGUGAAAUGCGUAGAGAUGUGGAGGAACACCAGUGGCGAAGGCGGCUUUCUGGUCUGUAACUGACGCUGAGGCGCGAAAGCGUGGGGAGCAAACAGGAUUAGAUACCCUGGUAGUCCACGCCGUAAACGAUGAGUGCUAAGUGUUAGGGGGUUUCCGCCCCCCUUAGUGCUGCAGCUAACGCAUUAAGCACUCCGCCUGGGAGUACGGCCGCAAGGCUG